CAGUCGAACGGCAGCACGGGAGCAAUCCUGGUGGCGAGUGGCGAACGGGUGAGUAAUAUAUCGGAACGUGCCCAGUCGUGGGGGAUAACGUAGAGAAAUUUACGCUAAUACCGCAUACGAUCUAAGGAUGAAAGCGGGGGACCGUAAGGCCUCGCGCGAUUGGAGCGGCUGAUAUCAGAUUAGGUUGUUGGUGAGGUAAAAGCUCACCAAGCCGACGAUCUGUAGCUGGUUUGAGAGAACGACCAGCCACACUGGGACUGAGACACGGCCCAGACUCCUACGGGAGGCAGCAGUGGGGAAUUUUGGACAAUGGGCGAAAGCCUGAUCCAGCAAUGCCGCGUGAGUGAAGAAGGCCUUCGGGUUGUAAAGCUCUUUUGUCAGGGAAGAAACGGUGUGGGCUAAUAUCCUGCACUAAUGACGGUACCUGAAGAAUAAGCACCGGCUAACUACGUGCCAGCAGCCGCGGUAAUACGUAGGGUGCAAGCGUUAAUCGGAAUUACUGGGCGUAAAGCGUGCGCAGGCGGUUUUGUAAGUCUGUCGUGAAAUCCCCGGGCUCAACCUGGGAAUUGCGAUGGAGACUGCAAGGCUAGAAUCUGGCAGAGGGGGGUAGAAUUCCACGUGUAGCAGUGAAAUGCGUAGAUAUGCGGAGGAACACCGAUGGCGAAGGCAAUCCCCUGGACCUGUACUGACGCUCAUGCACGAAAGCGUG
rnacentral:rRNA from 1 species